AUACGGAGGAUCCGAGCGUUAUCCGGAUUUAUUAGGUUUAAAGGGUGCGCAGGCGGAACUGUAAGUCACCGGUGAAAUCCUACAGCUUAACUGUAGAACUGCCGGUGAUACUGCGAUUCUUGAGUAUAGUUGAGGUAGGCGGAAUGUGUAGUGUAGCGGUGAAAUGCAUAGAUAUUACACAGAACACCGAUUGCGAAGGCAGCUUACUAAACUAUUACUGACGCUCAUGCACGAAAGCGUGGGGAGCGAACAGAAUUAGAAACCCGAGUAGUCC
rnacentral:rRNA from 1 species